rnacentral:rRNA from 1 species
CAGCUAGUUGGUAGGGUAAUGGCCUACCAAGGCGAAGAUCGGUAUCCGGCCUGAGAGGGCGCACGGACACACUGGAACUGAAACACGGUCCAGACUCCUACGGGAGGCAGCAGUGGGGAAUUUUGCGCAAUGGGGGAAACCCUGACGCAGCAACGCCGCGUGGAGGAUGAAGCCCCUUGGGGUGUAAACUCCUUUCGACCGGGAAAAUAAUGAUGGUACCGGUGGAAGAAGCACCGGCUAACUCUGUGCCAGCAGCCGCGGUAAUACAGAGGGUGCGAGCGUUGUUCGGAAUUAUUGGGCGUAAAGGGCGCGUAGGCGGUACGGUAAGUCACCUGUGAAACCUCUGGGCUUAACUCAGAGCCUGCAAGCGAAACUGCCGUGCUGGAGGGUGGGAGAGGUGCGUGUAAUUU